rnacentral:lncRNA from 1 species
UGAACCAAGAACACAGCCGCACUGGCAGGUAGGGACGUGUUCUCUCAGAUAUCAAUGAUGGCUACGGACAGGUGCAUGGUGCACACAUCCAGUGUGGGUACACUGGAUGAAAGGAAAACACCUGAUGAAAGCCACUCUGAGAAGGAAGGGUUUAUUCUGGCCUAUAGUCUGAGGGUGCAGUUUGUCAUGGUGGCUGGAGCUUGAAGCUGCUGGUCACUGUAUCUGCAGUCAGGAAGAAGAGAGAAGAUUCGGGGACACCUUGCUUUCUUUUGUGUGUAGCUGUGGACGCCAUCACAUGGGACCACACUACCUGAAGGUAACCACAGCCACUCUGAGUUCACUUGU